UGAAACUCUUUUAACAAUUUUUAAAGGUCCAAACCCUGGGAUGUAUCCUCAAGUUAACAGUCCAAACCCAGGGAUGUAUCCUCAAACUACCAUCGUAACAACCACAGUGAUGCUUCCCAGCCUGCGUGAUUUACCCGCUCAAACCAUGUGCCCCCACUGUAAGCACCAGGUGAUCACUAUAACAGAUCACUACUCUGGACUCAUGGCCUGGCUGGCCUGUGGCUGUCUUGCCCUCAUCGGGUAAACAUUUCCUUAAACUUGAUAAUUUCAUCAAACUUAC
rnacentral:lncRNA from 1 species